rnacentral:rRNA from 1 species
UACGGGGGGGGCAAGCGUUGUUCGGAAUUACUGGGCGUAAAGGGCUCGUAGGCGGCCAACUAAGUCGGAUGUGAAAUCCCCAGGCUUAACCUGGGAACUGCAUCCGAUACUGGAUGGCUUGAAUCCGGGAGAGGGAUGCAGAAUUCCAGGUGUAGCGGUGAAAUGCGUAGAUAUCAGGAGGAACACCGAUGGCGAAGGCAGGUCUCUGGGCCGGUACUGACGCUGAGACGCGAAAGCGUGGGGAGCGAACAGG